GUGAGGAAUAUUGGUCAAUGGGCGGGAGCCUGAACCAGCCAAGUCGCGUGAAGGAAGAAGGAUCUAUGGUUCGUAAACUUCUUUUGCAGGGGAAUAAAGUGCAGGACGUGUCCUGUUUUGUAUGUACCCUGAGAAUAAGGAUCGGCUAACUCCGUGCCAGCAGCCGCGGUAAUACGGAGGAUCCGAGCGUUAUCCGGAUUUAUUGGGUUUAAAGGGUGCGUAGGUGGUUUGAUAAGUCAGCGGUGAAAGUUUGCAGCUUAACUGUAAAAAUGCCGUUGGAACUGUCGGACUUGAGUGUAAAUGAGGUAGGCGGAAUGCGUGGUGUAGCGGUGAAAUGCAUAGCUAUCACGCAGAACUCCGAUUGCGAAGGCAGCUUACUAAGCUACAACUGACACUGAAGCACGAAAGCGUGGGGAUCAAACAGGAUUAGAUACCCCGGUAGUCC
rnacentral:rRNA from 1 species